rnacentral:tRNA from 1 species
ACCUGGCUGGCUCAGUCCAUUGAGCAUCAGACUCUUAAUCUCAGGAUCGUGGGAUUAAGCCCCACACUAGGCU